AACGAACGCUGGCGGCAUGCCUAACACAUGCAAGUCGAACGAGACCUUCGGGUCUAGUGGCGCACGGGUGCGUAACGCGUGGGAACCUGCCCUUAGGUUCGGAAUAACUCCCCGAAAGGGGUGCUAAUACCGGAUAAUGUCUUCGGACCAAAGAUUUAUCGCCUUUGGAUGGGCCCGCGUUGGAUUAGCUAGUUGGUAGGGUAAAAGCCUACCAAGGCGACGAUCCAUAGCUGGUCUGAGAGGAUGAUCAGCCACACUGGGACUGAGACACGGCCCAGACUCCUCCGGGAGGCAGCAGGGGGGAAUUUUGGACAGGGGGCGAAAGCCUGAUCCCGCAAUGCCGCGUGGGUGAUGAAGGCCUUGGGGUUGUAAAGCUUUUUUACCCGGGAUGAUAAUGACCGUACCGGGAGAAUAAGCCCCGGCUACCUCCGU
rnacentral:rRNA from 1 species